rnacentral:rRNA from 1 species
GACGAACCGUCCGAACGUUAUUCGGAAUCACUGGGCUUAAAGGGUGCGUAGGCGGCGCGGUAAGUCGGGUGUGAAAUCUCGGAGCUUAACUCCGAAACUGCAUUCGAUACUGCCGUGCUUGAGGACUGGAGAGGAGACUGGAAUUUACGGUGUAGCGGUGAAAUGCGUAGAUAUCGUAAGGAAGACCAGUGGCGAAGGCGGGUCUCUGGACAGUUCCUGACGCUGAGGCACGAAGGUCAGGGGAGCAAACGGG